UACGUAGGUGGCAAGCGUUGUCCGGAAUUAUUGGGCGUAAAGGGCUUGUAGGCGGUUUGUCGCGUCGGGAGUGAAAUCCACUGGCUUAACUGGUGGCUUGCUUUCGAUACGGGCAGACUGGAGGUAUGCAGGGGAGAACGGAAUUCCUGGUGUAGCGGUGAAAUGCGCAGAUAUCAGGAGGAACACCGGUGGCGAAGGCGGUUCUCUGGGCAUGUCCUGACGCUGAGGAGCGAAAGUGUGGGGAGCGAACAGG
rnacentral:rRNA from 1 species